rnacentral:misc_RNA from 1 species
GAUGAAGAACGCAGCGAAAUGCGAUAAGUAAUGUGAAUUGCAGAAUUCAGUGAAUCAUCGAAUCUUUGAACGCACAUUGCGCCCGCCAGUAUUCUGGCGGGCAUGCCUGUUCGAGCGUCAUUUCAACCAUCAAGCCCCCGGCUUGUGUUGGGGACCUGCGGCUGCCGCAGGCCCUGAAAACCAGUGGCGGGCUCGCUAGCCACUCCGAGCGUAGUAAUACAUCUCGCUCAGGGCGUGCUGCGGGUUCCGGCCGUUAAAAAGCCUUAUUUACCCAAGGUUGACCUCGGAUCAGGUAGGAAGACCCGCUGAACUUAAGCAUAUCAAUAAGCGGAGGA